rnacentral:misc_RNA from 1 species
AUCCACAGCAUACUGCAUUUCCAAGAAGAUAGCUGAAUCCUUAAUAAUAGACAAGUAAUUUCUUGCAUGCAAGAAUAAUCCUUGAUAACUGUAUUUAAGGAAUAAUCAACAAGCAAAUCUCAAUUUUUCCCCUCUUCAUUCGCUUUCAGGAGAUUCAACCAUUGUUUUACAAGAAAUUUUACAUGGACAUUUUUAUUCGAUGGGGAAUCCAUGCAAUACAAGUAUAGUAUGCAAUGAACAAACAAAGGGCAUAUAAUGUUCAAAUCACAACAAAUAUCAAAUAUCAAGGCUUGACAAUGCCAGAUGUCCAAAAUCUUUCCACCUUUUACAAAUAGCAUAUUGACUUGCAAGCCAUAUAAAAUUUCUGAAACGACAGUGUCUACUGUCUAGGGCCUCUAGGCUUGGGGUUCUUUCAUCACCAAGAACAACCAUAGAGAUUGCGACAAUUUUCCCAACCACAAAAACUCAAUAUUUAGUGAUGGUAACAGAAAAAAAAUUCCAAGGGUAAUAACCCUCAUUGCUGCUAUGUUAUUGUCAAUAUUCAAUACAUAUGUUUCCCCAAAAUCCAUCCGGAGAGUUAUAAAAAUGGUGAGGGCAACAAACUGGGUUUGUUCCUUGAUUUCUCAACUAGCUAAUGCUUUUACUGCUUUCUCCGCAGCAUCAUCCAAGUCUUCCGCUGUGAUUAGCGCCAUUCCACUUUCCUUGAGAAUUCUCUUUCCUAGGUCAACAUUAGUGCCUUCUAGACGAACCACCACAGGUACUUUUAGUGCAACCUGUUUGGCUGCAUUAACAAUUCCACUUGCUAUCACAUCACAUCUCAUUAUUCCUCCAAAUAUGUUCACUAAAAUUGAUUUAACCUUAUCAUCAGAAGUCAAUAUUUUAAAUGCCUCAACCACCUGGCCCUCAGAUGCAUUCCCACCAACAUCAAGAAAAUUGGCAGGAGUUCCGCCAUGCAAUUUAAUUAUAUCCAUCGUAGCCAUUGCUAAUCCAGCACCAUUCACCAUGCAACCAAUUUCUCCAUCAAGGCCAAUAUAAUUCAAAUCUGCCUUGGCAGCAGCCACCUAUCAAAAGAUAAAAAGCAUAAGAAAAGAGAGAUUAAUAGAGCAUUUCAUCAUCUUUUAGCUGAACAAAAUGCAGAAAAAUUUCCGAGUCAGUGCACAAGUGAGAGAGGUGCAUACACCCAUCUGGUCAAUCUUAAAUGGCACUCCUUGUAUUAUUAAAGAAGGGUAAACAAAAUAACUAGUAUGUCCGUAAGAUGUCAAUGCCGCUUCAUUUUUCCCUCCCUUUGACAAGAGAAAAAAAUUGAUUCAUGUUCAGAGUAUAGGAUAUUUUAGUCAUUAUCAUUUUGCUUUCAUGCAUUCUGUGAAUAGCUUUGUUUCUUAUGGGGGCACUACAGCCUAUGAAUGGGACCUUCUCUUUUGGUGUCUUUUAUUAAAUAGUCUUCAAUUUAUUGAUAAGCAAAACCUCAACUCAACUCAGUCUCAGUCCAACCUAAUUUUGCUUUUUCAAAUGUGAAUUAAAUAGUCCUUGACUUAAAGAAAAACAUGCACUUCUAUUCCUUCCAUUACAUUUUAGUCCUCACCAACAUUUUAGGAAUUAAAGGUUGUUUGAUUUGAAAAAGCAAGAACUAAAAUGAUGUUCAAUGUAAAAUUUUAGGAACUAAGAAUAUAACAUUUUCAUGAAAAGACUCAAGUUUACAAGAAUAAGAAAGUUGAGUAUCAUUUAAUUCAUUUAUAGAAUAUAAAAAGAUUCAAGUGUAAUUUUGCCAAAUGUUAGAACAUCUUUUUGUAAUUUACACAAACUAAAAAUGUAUACACUCUAAGAAACUUAUUCUAAUGUUUUAUUGCAACCAAACCUCUCGAGCAUCCUCCUGUGUUGGAUCAUGGAGAUUAAAUAUCUCUUUCUGACGAAAUGCAGCAUUAUCAUCAAAGUUCAGCUUAGCAUCAGCAGCUACCAACUGGUUAUCAGAUGUCUCAGCUAUGGGAUUGAUCAGCAAAGCGAACCAAGAUUGUUCAAAGUAAGAUAUCCAUACAAGAAAGAAUAUGCAAAAGCGGCAAUUGGAGGCUGGGGGUUGAUAUUUCAAAUAGAGUCACAGAAAAUGAUAUUUAUACUCACUUCCAACAAAGUGCAAUCACACUCACAAAAAAGCUUAUAUAAUUUCUUCACUUGCUCAAUUGAAUCUUUUCUAUCAGCCACUUUUGGAGCUAAUCCAUCUACAACUUUUGCAGCAUCUUCGUCAGUAAUUCCUUUAAAUACAUCGAUAGGAACCUUAAUAAUCAAGUCAGGAAAUUUCUCUGCAAGGUCUUCAAUGCUGGUUCCCCCCUUUUUACAGGCAAUAAUAAGUGGGCCGGCAGUUUGACGAUCCAGCAUGAUAGCAAAGUACAUCUCAUUGACAAGUGAUAACUUUUCACAUAGGUAAACCUUGCUGACAACUUUUCCUUGAGGACCAGUUUGCUUGGUAACAAGUAUUUGACCAAGCAUCGUUCCAACUGUCUCUUCAACCUUGUCAGCCUUAACAAUGUGAACUCCACCCUCAAAGCCAUUCUUAAAUUUCCCUAAGCCUCGUCCACCAGCCAAAAUUUGACUCUUAACCACCAAAUCAUUUUCAUUAGGGAACAGUUCUUGAAUUGCCUUCCUGACCUCACCAACAGACGAAACAGCCCCUCCCUUUGGGACGUUGAUCCCGUACUUGCUCAUCAAAUCAGCUCCCUGAUACUCAUGGAUGUUGAGACGGCGGAGUUGCUGCUGCUGCCAUUUUCCGGCGACGGAGAGGGAGCGAGAAACCAGCUUGUUUAGCAAUUCUCUCAUUAUGCUUAUUCACAGAGAUCAACUUCCCACACUAGAUACGAAAAUGUCACGGAAAGAGUGAGAGAGAGGUGAGAGGAGAGGAUUACCAGAAUCAGUCGGGUCAAGAGAAAAGAGAAGCUAGACGGACCGUAGAUUUUUCAGUUUUCCUUGAUUCCUU